rnacentral:rRNA from 1 species
UACAGAGGUCCCAAGCGUUGUUCGGAUUCACUGGGCGUAAAGGGUGCGUAGGUGGUUGGGUAAGUCUGAUGUGAAAUCUCCGGGCUCAACCCGGAAAUGGCAUUGGAUACUAUUCGGCUAGAGGUUUGGAGGGGGGACUGGAAUUCUCGGUGUAGCAGUGAAAUGCGCAGAUAUCAGGAGGAACACCAACAGCGAAGGCAGAUCGCUGGGACGUUACUGACGCUGAGACGCGAAAGCGUGGGGAGCAAACAGG